GGGAGCAUGUUUGUGGUUAACCCAUUCUUUCAAGGAAGGUGAUUACUAUUUUCGUCCGGAUAAAAUGUCCGACCAAUUCAGCAUUUGAUCAGAAAAACUGUAAUUGGCAAUGUUCGGAAAAUGUCCAAAGUCCGACCGUUAUUUUAGGCAUUGUGCUGUGCCAGUCUUUCACGGUUGCAAUCACUUGGAAAAUAUACAGAAAAUAUUAAGAUUGUUGCUUCUGAUUUCAAUCGAACUCUCCUAAUCAAGCUAACCAAUUAUCAGGAAUCCAUUGUGGUUCCUUUGCCACGAGAUAUACGGCUGUAUACAGGCGAUCAUACGCAUUUUGAAGGUCAUCGUUAACAAUUGUUAAUUCAAAAUAAU